CUUCAUGGCAACAGAACCCACAGCAACAAUGACUUUAAUCACCAUCUUUAUCUGGGCACUCUUCAUUUCUACUGAGGCAGGAACAGGGAGACUUCACUAGGAAUGACAACGCCCAAGAUCAAAGCGUAAUUAACUAUUGUGGAGCGGAUAUUUGGCUUAACCCACUUGGCUGAGAACCGACGUCCUGGCCAUAGGACGAGGAGGCCUGGACCCCACGCAAGCCUGGCGCUCCCACUAUUCCCCGCUCUGCAUUGGAAGAUGGAUGCACGGAAGUCCGCGUACCAGCGGAUCCUGGAGAGACCCGACAGCAUAGGCUUCAUCACGGCAUCCUGACCUGCUGAGUCCAGGGCUCGGAGCGCCUGGCCUCAUUACUGUUUUUAUCCUCCUGGUUCCCUGUUACUAUUCCUGUUCCAGAUCCCGUUCCGGUUUUAAUCUUGUCUGUCUCGGAUUGGAUCUCCCGGCUCCUGGACCCUGGACUGCGCCUCGGUUUCCCCUUUGGACUACCUUAGGACUUGUUCGCAUGCGACACGCCCCCUGAGCACCAGAUCUCAGCCGUCACGCCCCCCUGUCUGUCAUCCCAUCCUGCGCCUGCUGUGUUUCCCUUGAAGUCUUAUUCCAGUCACUUCAGGAUUAUAGCGUCUGCAUAGGGUCCAAAAUACGCACUACUCGGGAGUCAGGACCGGCUCUCGUGACUAUUUGACGACUUUUAGAAACCAAUCAAACAUAAUAAUUUACAGUCUCAUGCAGGAAUUACGAAUAAACAACAUACAGUUUAUUGAUAUGAUGAAUACAUGCAUAACAAACAACAAGCAUAACAAAAUACAUCUGAGAAACGAUCUGCUGUGAUCGUUAAAAUAUGCAGCGAUUAUAAUGUGUUACAGUCUAGCUCGUAGGUUAUAUCAGUCUCGUAAAACUAAAUCAUAUUCAUAUUCUCAGAUACAAGUAAAUGUGCAUUAACUAUCAUGAACUAAACAUCAAAUGUGUGUUUGGAAUAAUAGCACACCUCUUGAGAAUUAUGAUGUGAAUAAUGAAAUUUUACUUUGGUCUUAAAAAGCAGUUUGUGCACAGUUUUUCCUCUAGGGGUCUGCAAGGUAGGCAAAAGGGGAACUUAGGUUAUUUCGUGCUAUAGUUUUUGUUCAGAGUGUGCUUGGAUAUUCUGGAUGUCGACAAAAAGAGUCUAGCAGUCUAAUUUUGUUGAUUGUUGAAGAUGACAUUGGGUUUACAAACAGAAGAUUUCUUCUGUUUCAGGAAGAAUAUCUUGGAAUUCUGCAUUUUACUGACACUCUCUCAGCCUGGCUUCUCUGAGAAAAGUUUAAGACCUGACUCGGACUGCUCGCAGUCCCAUGGUUGAAAAUUCAGUUUGCAGUUCAGUUGAAGAGAUUGAGUCAGUGAGUUAACCAGCGGAAAAUGACUUGAGUUUCAGUUUUGUAGUAUCGCAUCACAAGUUGGUGAUUGUCUGAGAUGCCAUCAGGUAUACCGCUGGUGCCCACCUUACAGGUCACUCAUUGGUGGAUCUUCCUUUGGGCGAUUGAACAUGUCCUGUGACUUUUAAGAUCAGAUCCAGAUGUACCUAUGGCUCUCAACUAGACAUCCAGGCACUAGCAGUGUACAUCCAUCAUGGGAGUUGAGAUCGCCUCUGUUGUAGAAAGGAUUGUUAUCCAGGAGACAAACUCACCUCUCUUACUUUCCCACAUGUGAAGACCAACAAGACAUUCUGUGGCUGAGAUUGCAAAGAGAGGCCUCUUUAGCUACAUCCCUGUGUAUUUACACAGGCAGGCACCAGGCUAUAUGGUCAAGGCACGCAAAGAUUAUUAGAAAUCUUUAAUAGUACCUUAAUUCUAAUUAUUAAACGGAUAGUUCCUGUCCUGAAAUCUGAUUGGCUGACACGCUUUUGAAGCAGUGCUAUAUUUUCCGAGAUGCCAAAAUUAUAAUUGCACACAUCAUUCUUAAAUAUAUGAUGGUUUAUCAUCAUACCAUUGGUGGUGGUGGAGGGGAGUCCCCAUUACCUGUAAAGCGCUUUGAGUGGAGUGUCCAGAAAAGCGCUAUAUAAGUGUAAGAAAUUAUUAUUAUUUAUCAGGGCACAUAACACAUUGUAACUGUGCAUUUCUACAUUUCAACCUCUGCUAUAAAAAAUUACUUCAAUAAAAAGUUGGGCUCAAUUUUUGUUUUGAUGCCUGUAGUGCGUUUAACCUUUAAAACACACUGGAUAUUAGUAAUCCCGCUAUAUUUUAGCAAGGCAGAUUAAACCAGUCUCUCCACUCUCUAAUCCAUUCCAGCUGUGUUGAGUGGAAUUAGGGCUCGGCUGAUUGUGUCUCAUCCUCUGCUCCUUAUAAAGCUGUUCUCUGUCUAGUCCUGCCGUCCUGGGAGUGUUCAUGCUAAACUGUUCAUGUUGGCGCUGAAACCUGAUGUUGGAGAAGUGAGUUUCCACUAACUCCCCAGGGGGAUCCUGGAUAGAGAGACAAAGCGAAAACAGGAAGAGGAGAAGGAGGGAGGUGGAAACUUUAGAUCUGAGGGUCUGAGUGUUUGAGGUUAAAAUAGAGACACAAUUGAGGCAGAGGACUGACUCUUUCUACUGUCGGUUAUCUAGAAGAACAGAAGACUGUCAUGCAAACAGGGAGCACACUUCCCAUGAGCAUUAAAAUAAGUUUUCAGUGUCUCUCCAGCCCCAUAGAUAAAACACACGUCUUUCCUUCAACACUGUGAGGUAAGGCAGUUAGUAAUUGUGCUGCAUCUGAACAAACAGAGCCAAGUGUAGUUUUAACCAGAUUCUCUGCACUCCACCCCAUUCCAACUAUGUUGAGUGGAAUAAGGACAUAGCUGAUCAGCAGAUCUGUGAAAGUGUAAACGUAUAUAAAAUGUGGGUUGCAUGACUGUUUUUAAUAUGUGCAUUUGCAUGCUUCAGUCUCUGUAAAAUAUGGUUUUAGUUCAACUAUUUAUCCUGCAGUAUCCGAACACACAAAGCCAAGUACUGCUUUAACCAGACUCUCCACAAUCCACUUCAUUCAAGUUGGACUCAGCUGAUUGUGUCUCAUCCUCUGCACCUUAUAAAGCUGCUCCCUGUCUAGUCCUGCUGUCCUGGGAGUGUUCAUGCUAAACUGCACAUCUUGCUCUGUCACAUCACAGCACUAAACCUGAGUUUCCAGCACUAACUGGCUACAAGUGCUGCUGAACACAGGAAACAUUUUGCAUAGAAGAGAAACUUUGCAUUGGCAGCACAUGCUUCAGUGCUCUGGGAGUGUUUAUAGCCCUGUGAGUUUAACAUUUCAUGAAUGAGACCUGCCCUUCAUGGCAACAGAAUCCACAGCAACUAUGACUUUCAUCACCAUCUUCAUCUGGACACUCCUCAUCUGGGCUCAGGAAUCCAGUGGACAGCUUACUGUGACUCAGACUCCAGGAGUGAAAUAUAUUGCUCCAGGACAGAUAGUCACUGUGAGCUGUAAGUCCAGUCCUGCAGUGUAUAAUAACAACUACCUCAACUGGUACCAGCAGAAAGCUGGAAAAGCUCCUAACCUCCUAAUCUAUGCAGCAACUACCCGUCAUGCUGGGAUCCCAGAUACCAACAGAAAGCUGGAGAAGCUCCUAAACUCCUUAUCUAUCUUGCAACUACCUGUCAGACUGGGAUUCCAGAGCGUUUCAGUGAAAGUGGAUCUGGGACUGACUUCACUCUGACCAUCACAGGAGUCCUGGCUGAAGAUGCAGCAGAAUAUUACUGUCAGAGUGCUCACAGUGGUGGUGUGUUUACACAGUGUUACACACCUGUACAAAAACCUCCCUCAGCAGGACUGCACAGCAACUGCACUGUUGCAGCUUUGACCUACUGCAUGUGCUGAGGGUGAAAGCAAAGACACGGGACACAGCCUGUAAAGGAGCUCAACUGCACACAAACACACUUUAAAUCUCACAUUGUUGUUUGGAUUCCGUGUUUUAAACUUGUGUUGCCAUUUCUUAGAAGUGUGAUAGAAAGGGUUUUUGACCAAUUUACUGAACUCAAUUUACUGAAUUUUACUGAAAAUGCCUAGAUAAGACACUAAAAGUUGCCUUUAGUAGCAGAAUCCUCUUAAAAAACCCAAAGUGCACACAUUUCUAGGUCACCUACUCUGAACUUUGUCAGUUUUGAUAUUUACAGUUGUUAAGCACAAACUGUAAUAUUUAUCAUGUCUUUAUUUGCAAUGUGACCUCAUCUAUCCAGGUGCAGAGGAGACAGUGUGACCCCUAAUGUUUUAUAGUGUUUUAUAAUGUUUUAUAAAACCAGCAGGUUUUAUCGGUCACCAGUUUCUAAAGACCUCAGUUUCAUUCUGAUCAGGUGAUCAUUAAACAGGUCAUUAUUGCGCUAAGUAAUUUAUAGAUCAUUUAGAAAACAAUCUGCUUACUUUAAAAAAAAAAUCUGACUAUCUUAUGCCAUCUGGUCAGGUGACUGAGGACGACAGGUCUUUUCCCUCAGGCCUGUUGGGAUUUAGUUCAGACAAGAGUCUUCAUCUCCCAAAGAAAUAGUUUUGAUCAGCCUCAGUAAAUUUGAAGAAUUCAGACUAAUACACUGACAAGUGUUGAUACUUUGCCUUGACAAAAUGGUUUGACUACACUAAGCCUGUAUCUAAUUUAAUCGUAUCUCGAUUGUAAUGAAGUCUUAGUGCUAUCGAAAGUCACAUGUCAGUUCAGUCUGAUGGCUUUUUCUCAACUACAGACUGACACUGAUCUGCAGUCUGCGCUAGAGGGCGCUGCCUUGAAGCUUUUGGACAGACCUGAGUCUGCACAAUGGCUGCAUUAUGAACCUCUCUAAAGUUUAAUUCAUGUGUUAAUACUUUUCUCGAUACUAAGAUUUAAUUUAACCAGACAUUUUACAAUUAUACAUAGAUAUCACUGUUAGACCAUAUUUAUACUCAAUCUGGAUAUGCGUAAUUUGUAAGUUAUCAUGUUAGAGUCAAAGAUAGACAUUACACAACAGGCAUAUUAGUAAUAAUGUUUCCACCAAAAUAAAAUGGUUUUCUAAGAUUUAAAUUUUUACAAACUCCAGUACAAUCAAAAAUCAGUCACCGGUCUGUCCCCACUCCACCCUGAGGCCUGAGCGCUGUGCCUGCUGGGAUGUUCAAAUCCAGGUGACCCAGGGCAAAGAUGAUCUUGCUGUUUCUAAAUUCCUGACGGCACACUGAAGUGACAGAAAUUUAACUAUUUUCAUGCGCAACUGCUCUGUGAAUCCUUAGAGCAAAUAUAGACCAGGGUGAGAGAAAUUGUUAGACUCUGUCUAGAGUCUAGAGUCGGUGGGAUGUGAGUGUUUAUUGGGGUUUUGUAUAGAUGUUUAUAAGUGUCUAUGAUGUGUCUGUGGAGUGUGAGGCGUGUCUGUGUUGUGGAAUGUCUUUCUCCUCUUUUUUCAUGGGUAGUAAAGAAAUAAGUUGUACAUACACCAACAAUAAAUAUAUUGUUUUGUCUUUA